rnacentral:rRNA from 1 species
UACGUAGGGUGCGAGCGUUGUCCGGAAUUAUUGGGCGUAAAGAGCUCGUAGGCGGUUCGUCGCGUCGAAUGUGAAAACCCGGGGCUCAACUCCGGGCCUGCAUUCGAUACGGGCGGACUAGAGUUCGGUAGGGGAGACUGGAAUUCCUGGUGUAGCGGUGAAAUGCGCAGAUAUCAGGAGGAACACCGGUGGCGAAGGCGACUUCCUGGCCUGUUCUUGACGCUGAGGCGCGAAAGCUAGGGGAGCAAACGGG